UUUGUGCUAUGUAUAAUAUGCAUUAGUUCAUUUGGACAGGUCAUGUAUUUGAAUACUGUGAACCCACUUUGAUUUCAAAACAGAUCCGAGGACCACAGGAUAUUAAUAUGCAGGCUGAAAUAUUUGCCUUAUCAGUGUAUAUAACAGGCCUGCCCUCCAGGAAUUCACCAGAAUAUCCAUAUUCCCACUCUGGGCCUGCCUAUUAAACAGGAUAUAAUUUGUGAUUAAAAAAGAUUUAAUCACAAUCUUUUUUUUAAAGGGAAUUGAAAAGAGCAAGAAGAACGCUGUCAUCGAAUCAAGUAAUAAAUUCAAAGCUGAUCACGCAGAGGAAAGAAGAAAAGCUGAGGAGGAAAUGCAGAAUGUAAAACAGCAUAUUUUGGAUCGAGACAAAGCUGUAUGCAUUUUUGCUGAUCCAAGCUUUGCAGAAGUUCGGAGGUUGUGUGGUAUUGAUGCUGCGCAGUAAGGACACCUCAAAAACAACCAAUGCUCACAGUGAACUUGAGUAGGAGCCAUGCAGGGCUGCAUUUUGUACAGUUGCGUGGUUACACUAAAUCCUCUUUGGUGUUAAAAUUAAAAUUUUGAUACAGCCAAAUUGCCAACGUUUUGCUCUGUUGUUGUGUGUGAUUGUUAGAAUCUUUCAUCUUUUUUGUGUGUGUAGCAGCAAAAUAAACAUACGGUAACUAAAAAAA